rnacentral:piRNA from 1 species
UGAGAGCUACUAGAAGCUAAGGUUUGAGC